rnacentral:lncRNA from 1 species
AGAUGAGACCCAAGUCCAGGGUGCAGCCUGGAAGUCUGAUUCCAGAGGAACAAAGAGACAAAUACCAACGUGGAUUCUGGCAGAGGGGAACAAUGCAGGUGCCCAGUGAGUAAAACUGGGGCACAAGAGGAAGGUUUAAUUACCGGAAAAAGAUAGCAGACCCACUUCAUGGCAGGAUGCUUACCUUGGAUGCUUACAUUUGGUGUCAAGAUGAAGGGGGGGCCUUUCCUGGAUGUCACUGGGAUGCCACAGCAGGCCUGUAGAAGUCACAUUGCAGGAAAGACGUUGGGCUUCCCAGGAGGAAAAGGGAAAGGGCUGGGGAUGAAAGAUCAAGCUCCCAGACCAUGAGGUUGAGACCUCUGAAAGCCGCCCUUUUGGAAACAAUGUCCCCAGAAGACAGAAAACUAAGGUAGAGGAAAUUCAAAAGUUGCAUGCUUUAUUUCAAGACCGAAAGUGAAGACUGCCACACAGGGAUGUGUCACGCAAAUGCCCCCAGCCCAGCCUCCCAGGAACUGCCAACCUGCUUCUGAGCAGCUGUGAUAAUAUUCAGUGCAGACUGUCAACUGCUGGCUGAGGGCAUUUUGCUUGAAGAGGGUGUCCUUUUUGGGGAUGGGAAGAGAACAGUGUCUAAGCAAAACAUUUGAAGAGCAGUGAUGCAGAGCCUCUGCCUCAGAGUACAGCCACAGUGGGGCAGUGAUAGGGACAGCCACCAGAAGCCUCCAGACCCAUUCACAACCAACCAGGAAGGGGUUGGGACUGAGGAUGACAACCCCCCGCAUCAGCAUGUGUGCACAUAAGAGGAGAGGACACCGGCCCCCAGUGGAAACUGCGGAGAUUAGCAUCCUAGUACCAACAGCUUUUUUAUGAUAAUCUUGGCUUCCAAUUGUCCCUCCUUUGGAGUGUGCGUGUGUUGAGGAGAAAGGGGUAGAUAUAGUUUGCUAAUGAAUUUCACAUAUUUCUGUAUAUGUGAAAUGUGAAAUCGAAUAUAAAGAAUGCAUGAUUCUUUGAAAAUUAUUUAAGAAUUCAUAUAUGAGAAUUAUGAAAAUUCAGAGCCUUCACUCUUCACUAGGCAAGAAAAAUUACAUCAGCUGGGCAUGGUGGCUCGAGACUGUACUCUCAGAUACUCAGGAGGCUGAGGCAGAAGAAUCGCUUGAGCCCAAGAAUUCAAGACCAGCCUGGGCAACAUAGUGAGACCCUGUCUCUAAAAAAAUAAUAAUAACAAAUAAAAAUAAAAUUAGCCAGGCAUGGUAGGUAGCGCACAACUGUAGUCUCAGCUACUCAGAAGGCUGAGGUGGGAGGUUUGCGUGAGUCCAGGAGAUCACAGCUGCAGUGAAGUAUAAUCAUGACGCUGCACUCCAACCUGGGCAACAGAGCAAGACCCCAUCUCGAAAGAAAAAGAGAGUACCUCAAGCUAGUCAAUGCAAACUCCUUUUGUUGUUGUUGUUGUUGUUGAGACAGGUCUCACUCUGUCAUCCAGGCUGGAGUGCAAUGGCUCGAUCACAGCUCAUUGUAGCCUCAACUUCCUGGGCUCAGCUUCCUGAAGUAGCUGGCACUACGGGCACCUACCACCAUGUCUGAUUUACUUUUUGUAGUUUUUGUAGAGUUUCACCACGCUACCCAGGCUGGUCUCAAACUCUAGGGCUCAAGAAAUCUGUCCACCUUGGCCUCCCAAAGUGCUGGGAUUACAGGCGUGAGCCACCACACCCAGCUUGGCAAUGCAAACUUCUACCUCCUUUUCAUGUAUACAGGUUUUUCCUGCAGUUACUAGAAGCAAAAUAUUGACCCUGACCUCCAAGAGUUUUAUUUUAGAUGAGAUGACAAAAUGCCCAUGUAAUGAUUAAAAAUCAGUAUAAAGCAGAAUGUAACCAGAACCUAAAUGGGGCAGGUGUGGAUUAAAGCCAUAACAGUAAUCUAGAGAAAGAAAACAUCUCUGGAAGCUAAAGCUACUGCUGCAGUGAAAGAUUUCAUAGAAAUGGGACUUCAGUUGAGCUCUGAAAAUAAUUUAGUUAAAUGUAUAUGGGAACUAUGGCUGGGUACAGUAGUUUAUGCCUGUAAUCCCAGGAAUGUGGGAGGCAGAGGCUGAGGUGGGAGGAUUGCUUGAGCCUGGGAGGUCAAGGCUGCAGUGAGCUGUGAUCACACCACUGCACUCCAGCUUGGGUGACAGAGUGAGACCCUGUCUCAAAUAAAUAAAUAAAUAAAUAAAAUGAAUAUGAGAAUGAGAUGGAAGUUUAUCCGAGAAGAAGUAACAGCAAAAGUUCAGCAGUCAGAACAAGAGGGACUGUGUGCAGGACCAGAUGUCUGCCUGGUGCUGUCCACCUUCCAUGCGAUGGGUAGGAGCGUGCUGUCCACCUUCCAUGCGAUGGGUAGGAGCGUGCCCCAUGUUGCCUGCUCACUAUAUGCCAGCGCCUGUGCCAGACACACUCACUUAUUACCCUGUUACAUCCUCACAGAAGCCUUUCCACACCAGAAGGGAAGGAAGGGCUCAGAAGGGUUCAGUAAUUUGUCCAAGGUUGCAUGUUAGUAAGUGGCAGAGCUGGGACUCUAACUGAAGUCACCCAAGUCCAGAGCCUAUGCUGUUAACUCCAACACUUUUAUAUGAAUCCAUGGUUGGGUGGCCAGUUGGCAGCAGUGAGCAGCAUAAAGCUUAAAGAUAGGUGUUUUUGGCCAGAACAAUGUGUAGAAAAGCAGAUUGACUUGGCUGGGAUAGGCUGGCUGCCCGAUCAGCUUAAUUCCUGUUUCCCACCCUCCCAGUUUCACAUGCUCAUGCUACCUGUCCAAGAAAUCCUGCCUAAGGUGCCCAGCUGACACUGAGGGAGGUGAGGAGAAAUGGAAAAGAAAGAGCCCAUUCUUUUUUUUUGAGACAGAGUCUCAUUCUGUUGCCCAGGCUGGAAUGCAGUGGCACGACCUUGGCUCACUGCAACCUCCGCCUCCCAGGUUCAAGCAAUUAUCCUGCCUCAGUCUCCCAAGUAGCUGCAAUUACAGGUGGCCGCCACCACACCUGGCUAAUUUUUAUAAUUUUUUAGUAGAGAUGGGUUUUCACUAUGUUGGUCAGGCUGGUCUCAAACUCCUGACCUCAGGUAAUCCACCGGCCUCGGCCUCCCAAAGUGCUGGGAUUACAGGCAUAAGCCACCAUACCCUGCCAGAGCCCAAUCUUGAGAUCCUUCUAAAAAAGGAAUUUGAAAGCAAAGACAAAGAAAGGAAAGAGUUAAAGACUUAAGUCUAUAAGGUUUUUCACAGUGAAUUCUCCAGCAUCAGAAAUCCCUUGGGCAGGUUGGGGGUAGGGUGGCACGGAGCACUGGUUAAAAAUGCAGAGCCCUGGGCCCAGGGCACUCCCACCGAGUCUAGGGGAUGGCCAAGGAGCCUAAAUUUGCUAGCAGGCUCCACUAAAAUUUGAGAGCUAUUGGAUUGUACUUGUUCCAGAACAAAAUCCCUCAUACUCACCUAGUUUUCCCUUCUUGCAAAUAUAACUCUUAAUCACAUUUACUCUAAAUGAGAAAUAGUGUUCACUGUCAGCCUGUCAAAAUACUUCACGUAUGUCUUAGGAAAACCUUUAAUCACAACUUUCUUUUCUCUGAGUGCUUUUUUUCUAAUCUUUGAGCUUUGGAGCACCGAAUUAAAGUCAGUCCUAAAUCCUUUUCUAAUCAACACUUACAUCAAAAAGACUUCAUUGCAAUUCAAUUUGAGCCAUUUUCGCCAUUCAUGUUCAGCCUAUUAUUACCAAGGAGCUGGCCAAUGGCACUGAGAAUUUUUCACACUGACCAAAAACUGGGGUUCACUGAGUGCCAAGACAUGUUUUGGGAGCCACAGGCAGUCACUCGGCUUCCUUUUCUUGCCUGUCUCCUGGGAAAGGUGGGUAAGAAAAAUCCCCCUGAAGCCUCUGGGCAGUGAGGAGUACUUUGCCCUUGCCCCUGACUUUGGGAAGAGCUUUCCCCAUUCCAGGCCUUUUCCUCUGAAGUUCAGAAUGCCUGAAUGACCUUCCCCUCCUGCCACUCCCCCAGAAACUCCUAAUCAUCCUUCAAGUUUUGGCUCAGAAGUAGUGAAAAUAAUAAUCAUAAAUCACAUUUCCCUAUUCAACUCUGUCUUAGCUUACUAUAUAAUUUCCCUUUGUAGUUCUCAUCAAAGUCUUUCAUGAUCUAAUUGUGUCAUUAUUUGAUGAGCACCUAUCUAUCCCACUGAAAACUACAUGAGUGCUGAGACCAUUUGCUUUGCUCAGACUUGUAUUUAUGCCUAUUACCAUGUCUGGCACACAGAAGGUACUCAGUAUUAUUGGAUGAAUUCAGAGGUUUAUGUUUACUGAGCACUUAACAAUACGUCAGGUACUGCUAUGUGCUCCUGACACAUGAUGUAUUUUAAUUUUCCCAACAACCUUCUGAGGUAGGCACUAUUAUUACCCCUGUGGGAUAGGUAAGGAUGUCAAGGCUCAUCGAGGUCUCAGGGAUUUGUCAGGGUCACACAGCUAAUGAGUGUGGGUGCUUGGAUUCAAAUAUGAGUUUGUCUACCUCUAGAUCUCAGCUCUCACCCAUGAUGUUAUACACCUACUGUUUGACAUAGUCAGCUUCCAUAACUGUUACCUUCUUGGACACCCUCUUCCUAGAAUUAAUUGUUUCCUUCACUGUUUUUUUCUCAUAACAUUUCAAAUAUUCUUCCAUUGCCACACUAUUACAUUGCAUCAGGAUUUAAAUAUGUGUCUGGGAGCUCCAUGAGUGCAUGGACCAUGUUUUAUUAAGCCAGCGGGCCAAUUCUAACCACACAGUCCAUAUGCAGGUGCGAUUACAGUACGGGAUAAGUGCUUGAUUAACCCAGCAUCAGUCCCUCUUGAUCCAUCACUAUAGAGGGAGAUGCCAUUAACCUAAGUGGACAAAUUGACUAAGGGAACAGAUGGACAGCUCAGAGGCAGACCCACCAGAUACAGAAACCUGGCAUGUAAGAGGUACACUGGGAAAAGGAUGGAGCCAGCACACUCAGUGGUCCGUGUAACAAAGGAAUGAAAGUAGACCCCGUAUCAUACACGAUACAUAAAAAAUAAUUCUAAAUGGGCUGGGCGCUGCGGUUUAUGCCUGUGACCCCAGCACUCUGGGAGGCCGAGGCGGGCAGAUCACUUGAGGUCAGGAAUUCGAGACCUACAUGGUGAAACCCGUCUCUACUAAAAAUACAAAAUUAGCAGGGUGUGGUGGCUGGCGCCUGUAAUCCCAGCUACUCGGAAGGCUGAGGCAGGAGAAUCACUUGAACCCAGGAGAAGGAGGUUGCAGUGAGUCCAGAUUGCACCAUUGCACUCCAGCCUAGGCUACAAGAGGGAAACUCCAUCUCAAAAAUAAUAAUUCUAAAUGGACCAAAGACUUCCAUGUGAAAAAUAAAACUUUCAAACGUAUAAAAUGAGGAGUAAUCACAAUGAUAAUCAAGGAAAUUAAAAUCAAGGCUAUCAUAAGAUAUUCAUUUUAAAGCCACUGAAUUGGCAAAAAUAAAGAAAUCUGAUAAUACUCAGUAUUGGCAAAAAUAUGGAUCACUAGGAAUUCUUAAUCCACUGUUGAUGGUUAUAUAUAUAUUAGCAAACCACUUUAGAAAAAAGUUUGGCAAUAUCUAAAGAUUAUAUUUAUACUAUAAAAUAUAUGUAGCAGAAAAUGAAUUAACAGGUACAGCUGCUGUAGAAAAUAGUAUGAUUCUUCAAAAUUUUAAACAUAGAAUUACCAUACAAUUCCACGUCUGGGUAUAUACCCAAAAGAAGUGAAAGCAGGGAUAAGAACGUAUAUUUGUACACUUAUGUCACAGCAUUAUUCACAAUAGCCAUAAGGUGGGAGCAAACCAAGUGUCCAUCAAUGGAUGAAUGGAUAAACGAAAUGUGUUGUGAUGUUUGUGUGUGUGUGUGUGUGUGUGUGUGUGUAUAAUGGAAUAUUAUUCAGCCUUAAGUUAAAUGGAUGGACCUGAGGACAUUAUGCUAAGUAAGAUAAGUCAGUCACAAAAGGACAAGUAUUUUCUAUGAGGUACCUAGAAUAGGCAAAUUCAUAGAGACAGAAAGUAGAACAGACGUUGCCAGGGGCUGGGGGAAGAGGAGAAUGGAGAAUUUUCUUCUGCAGAUAACUACUCUCCUUUUGAGUGACAGCUCUUGGCCUGUUACUGGGCCUUGGUGGAAACUGAACAUUGGCUAUGGGUCAUCAAGUCACCAUGUAAACCUGAACUGCCUGUCAUGAACUGGGUGCUUUCUGACCCAUCUAGCCAUAAAGUGGGUGGUGCACAGCAGCAUUCCAUCAACAAAUGGAAGUGGUAUAUACGUAAUCGGGCUCGAGCAGGUCCUGAAGGCACAAGUAAGUUACAUAAGGAAGUGGCUCAAAUGCUCAUGGUCUCCACUCCUGCCACCCUGCCUUCUCUCCCUCAGCGUGCACCAAUGGCCUCAUGGGGAAUUCCCUAUGAUCAGUUGACAGAGGAAGAGAAGACUAGGGCCUGGUUCACAGAUGGUUCUGCAUGAUAUGCAAGCACCACCUGAAAGGGGACAGCUGCAGCACUACAACCCCUUUCUAGGACAUCCCUGAAGGACAGCGGUGAAGGGAAAUCUUCCCAGUGGGCAGAAUUUUGAGCAGUGCACCUGACUGUGCACUUUGCAUGGAAGGAGAAAUGACCAGAUGUGUGAUUUAUAUACUGAUUCAUGGGCUGUAGCCAAUGGUUUGGCUGGAUGGUCAUGGACUUGGAAGAAACAUGAUUGGAAAGUUGGUGACAAAGAAAUUUGCGGAAGAGGUGUGGAUGGACUUAUCAAGUGGUCAAAAACUGUGAAGAUAUUUGUAUCCCAUGUAAGUGCCCACCAACGGGUGACCUCAGCAGAGGAGGAUUUUAAUAAUCAAGUGAAUUGAUGACUGUUCUGUGAACACCAUUCAGCCGCUUUCCCCAGCCACCCCUGUCAUCGCCCAAUGGGCCCAUGAACAAAGUGGCCAUGGUGGCAGGGAUGGAGGUUAAGCAUGGGCUCAGCAACAUGGACUUCCACUUACCAAGACUGAUCUGGCUACGCCCACUGCUGACUGCCCAAUUUGCCAGCAGCAGAGACCAACACUGAGCCCUCAAUAUGGCACCAUUCCUCGGGGUAAUCAGCCAGCUACCUGGUGGCAGGUUAAUUGUAUUGGACCUCUUCCAUCAUGGAAAGGGCAGAGGUUUGUCUUCACUGGAAUAGACACUUACCCCAGAUGUGGGUUUGCCUAUUCUGCACGCAAUGCUUCUGCCAAGACUACCUUCCAUGGACUCACAGAAUGCCUUAUCCACCAUCAUGGUGUUCCACACAGCAUUGCCUCUGACCAAGGCACUCACUUUAUGGCUAAAGAAGUACAGCAACGUGCUCAUGCUCGUGGAAUUUACCGGUCUUACCAUGUUCCCCGACAUCCUGAAGCAGCUGGAAUGAUAGAACGAUGGAAUGGCCUUUUGAAGUCACAAUUACAAUGCCAACUACAUGACAAUACUUUGCAGGGCUGGGGCAAAGUUCUUCAGAAGGUCGUGUAUGCCCUGAAUCAACGUCCAGUAUACUGUACUGCUUCUCCCAUAGCCAGGAUUCAUGGAUCCAGGAAUCAAGGGGUGGAAGUGGAAGUGGCACCACUCACCAUUACCUCAAGUGAUCCACUAGCAAAAUUUGUGCCUCCUGUUCCCACAACAUGACAUUCUGCUGGCCUAGAGGUCUUAGUUCCAGAGGGAGGAACGCUGCCACCAGGAGAUACAACAACGAUUCCAUUAAACUGGAAAGUUACAAGUGCCACCUGGACACUUUGGGAUCCUCCUGUCUUUAAGUCAACAGGCUAAGGGAGUUAGUGUUGGCUGGGGUGAUUGACCCCGAUUAUCAAGAUGAAAUCAGUCUACUACUCCACAGCAAAGGCAAGGAAGAGUAUGCAUGGAAUACAGGAGAUCCAUUAGGAUGUCUCUUAGUAUUACCACGCCCUGUGAUUAAGGUCAAUGGGAAACUACAACAGCCCAAGCCAGGUAGGGCUACAAAUGGCCUAGACCCUUCAGGAAUGAAGGUUUGGUUCACUCCACCAGGAAAAAAAAAAAAAAACACGACCUGCCGAGAUGCUUGCUGAAGGCAAAGGGAAUACAGAAUGAGUAGUAGAAGAAGGUAGUCAUCAAUACCAGCUAUGACCACGUGAUCAGCUGCAGGAACAAGGACUGUAAUUGUCAUGAGUAUUUCCUCCUUCUUUUGUUAAAAACAUGUUUGUGCAUGUAUACACUUAUACUAAUUUUAUUUCACUUUAUUUCCUAUUUUCUUUACCAUGUGACGUAAGAUUUGUUGACCUCAUAUCAGCAUUUAAGUAUUGUUAAUUUUAUGUAAUAAUAUUUGGGUUGAUGAUUGGUGUGUUUCUGGUUGUAUGAAGGAUAGUUGUAUUAUGUUAGGCAUAACUAUGACCUUAUUAUUGUCUUUAUUUGAAGACUAUGUAUGAUCUCAGGAGAUGUGUGUGGGUUCAAGUUGACAAGGGGUGGACUUGUGAUGGUUAAUACUGAGUGUCAACUUGAUUGGAUUGAAAGGAUACAAAGUAUUGAUCCUGGGUGUGUCUGUGAGGGUGUUGCCAAGGAGAUUAACAUUCGAGUCAGUGGGCUGGGAAAGGCAGACCCACCCUUAAUCUGGGUGGGCACCAUCUAAUCAGCUGCCAGCACGGCUAGAAUAUAAAGUAGGCAGAAAAAUAUGAAAAGACUAGACUAGCCUAGCCUCCCGGACUACAUCUUUCUCCCAUGCUGGAUGCUUCCUCCCCUCAAACAUUGGACUUCAAGUUCUUCAGUUUUCGUACUCAGACUGGCUCUCCUUGCUCCUCAGCUUGCAGAUGGCCUAUUGUGGGACCUUGUGGUCAUGUGAGUUAAUACUUAAUAACUCAUAUAUAUAUAUGAAGGGGAUUUAUUACUUCAGACAGGCAACAAGAGACAACAGAAAGAAGCCCAGGAUUCAUGGUGAGCUGGUUCCCCAGGGCUCAGGAAAGCUGCCCAGGUGGAUGGAGUCUUCCACAAGUGCUUCACUUGCACAGCAGCUGAAGGUCACCCAAAAAGUGACCUACCUGGGUUUUAUACCCCAGGGAACAUGAGUUGCUGGGAUAAAGCAUUGAAGGACAUCCUGUUUCUAGGGGGGAGCUGGAGAGAAUUCAGGCUGUUCCAGUCAGUCCCUCCCUAUCUUGGGAUGUUGCACUCCCAGCACAUUCUACAGUUAUUCUUGAGAACUGCAAGCAAGAAAGAGGGAGAGAACUGGGCCAGUCCAAGGCCACCCAGAGAACUGUCCCGCAGGAUGGUGAAAGGUCUGGAAACUCUGCCAGGGAGGAAGGGGUGCUGGUCUGGAAAAGUGCAUGUGGGCCUUUUGGAGAGCCUGGUUCAGAAGCAUGGCUACUGGUAUUGCUUGGCUGAAGCACUGCUCUAUGGGAAGUUCACCCUCUUUGAAUAAGUGAGCCACUUCAGAAGCACCCCAAUCUACAGAACUAGCCUGGAAAAGGAAAAGGGAGAGUAUGGGAAACAUAAGACCUAACUUCAAAUCUUAGAAAGCCUGUUUUAUAGAAGUGAGAUUCACUGUGAGAAGUUCCAGAGAUCAGGCCUCAUGGUUAGAAGCUACAGGAAGACUUUACAAACUUUGAGCAGGGCAAGCGCCCAAGAGCUAGGCUGCCUGUGAGGUCCUGGACAUGUUCAACCAUCUAGAUUGUCAAAGAAUCAAUUGCAGGACUGGAAGCAGGGGAAGCUGGAGGAGAUGCCAGCUAGGUCCUCGCCUGCUCUGUGACAAUGAUUCAAAUGCAUCCAGGUGGUAGACACCCCACCUGCCAGGAACAGCUGUCAGUCUUGGAACCACUCAGUCAACACUUAUUUUGAGUUGGAUUUUCUGAUUAUUCUAGAACUCAUUUGGAUCUUGCCAUGAACCAAAUCAGCCCUUUUCACAUUAGCUGCAGUCCCUGGAGUAUUAAAAAUGCUGCCAAGCCUUAGGUUUUACCACUUACGGAGUAAGCCUUGAGUUCUAAUAAAACGAUGCUUAAAGCAGAUACAUACAUCUUUUUUUCUAUAUUCUAAACUGUUCAUAGUUUGCCACCUCUCCUAUAAAUGGAUCUACCAUCUUUUCAAGAUUUUCUCCCAUAAGCACUUGAGAGCACUUCUGUAAGCCCCCAGGAUACUGAAUUGAAAGAUUUAUAUUAACACCUGCAGGCAAAUCUCUUUUGAACUUGUCCAAGGCAGAAUCAUGAGGAAGGGACCACAAAAUAAGUCAGCUAAUUACAUGUCACUUUAAAACCACUGGAUGUAGACUAAAGGCUGCUGAAAGGUUUUGAUCAAUACUGACUCUGCCUUGGACACCAUGAGUAAUGUGAUGCACGCUGCUCAUGUCUUUUCCUGGGCACCUCAAUCUGGCAACUUCUUUUCUAAGCAGUAAUUAAAUCAGUGAAAAUUGUAUAUAGUCAUGUGAGUGGCAAAAAUUUUU